rnacentral:lncRNA from 1 species
GUUUGUUUGUUUAAGUGAAAAUCUAGUUCUGACUUUCGCAUAUGACAGGUAGGAAAAUUCCCAUUUAAGUUUUCAGUCUGUCUUAGGGAGUCUUACAGCAAGUUUGAGAAUGUAGUACGAGGUUCAGCUGACCCACUUUUAAAUAAAAGGAUUGAAAAAAAUAAUGUCUUUCCACAGUCUUUUCCAUGAACACAUUACCUGAAAUAGGUUGGUCUUUUUUUUUCCAAGUGCCCACCUUUGUAUUCCCACUGCUGCCAAAUGCCUGCCCUACUCAAAAGAAUAGAGAAUUAAGCACAA